AGUGAACGCUGGCGGUAGGCCUAACACAUGCAAGUCGAACGGCAGCACAGUAAGAGCUUGCUCUUACGGGUGGCGAGUGGCGGACGGGUGAGGAAUACAUCGGAAUCUACUUUUUCGUGGGGGAUAACGUAGGGAAACUUACGCUAAUACCGCAUACGACCUACGGGUGAAAGCAGGGGAUCUUCGGACCUUGCGCGAUUGAAUGAGCCGAUGUCGGGUUAGCUAGUUGGCGGGGUAAAGGCCCACCAAGGCGACGAUCCGUAGCUGGUCUGAGAGGAUGAACAGCCACACUGGAACUGAGACACGGUCCAGACUCCUACGGGAGGCAGCAGUGGGGAAUAUUGGACAAUGGGCGCAAGCCUGAUCCAGCCAUACCGCGUGGGUGAAGAAGGCCUUCGGGUUGUAAAGCCCUUUUGUUGGGAAAGAAAAGCAGCAGGUUAAUACCCCGCUGUUCUGACGGUACCCAAAGAAUAAGCACCGGCUAACUUCGUG
rnacentral:rRNA from 1 species